rnacentral:rRNA from 1 species
CGCCAGACUCCUACGGGAGGCAGCAGUGGGGAAUAUUGGGCAAUGGAGGCAACUCUGACCCAGCAACGCCGCGUGAAUGAAGAAGGCCUUCGGGUUGUAAAGUUCUUUAAUUGGGGACGAAGGAAAUGACGGUACCCAAAGAAUAAGCCACGGCUAACUACGUGCCAGCAGCCGCGGUAAUACGUAGGGGGCAAGCGUUAUCCGGAUUUACUGGGUGUAAAGGGAGCGUAGACGGCAGCACAAGUCUGGAGUGAAAUCCCGGGGCUUAACCCCGGAACUGCUUUGGAAACUGUGCGGCUGGAGUGCAGGAGGGGUAAGCGGAAUUCCUAGUGUAGCGGUGAAAUGCGUAGAUAUUAGGAGGAACACCGGUGGCGAAGGCGGCUUACUGGACUGUAACUGACGUUGAGGCUCGAAAGCGUGGGGAGCAAACAGGAUUAGAUACCCCAGUA